rnacentral:rRNA from 1 species
CCUACGGGCGGCAGCAGUGGGGAAUAUUGCACAAUGGGCGCAAGCCUGAUGCAGCCAUGCCGCGUGUGUGAAGAAGGCCUUCGGGUUGUAAAGCACUUUCAGCGGGGAGGAAGGCGGUGAGGUUAAUAACCUCAUCGAUUGACGUUACCCGCAGAAGAAGCACCGGCUAACUCCGUGCCAGCAGCCGCGGUAAUACGGAGGGUGCAAGCGUUAAUCGGAAUUACUGGGCGUAAAGCGCACGCAGGCGGUCUGUCAAGUCGGAUGUGAAAUCCCCGGGCUCAACCUGGGAACUGCAUUCGAAACUGGCAGGCUAGAGUCUUGUAGAGGGGGGUAGAAUUCCAGGUGUAGCGGUGAAAUGCGUAGAGGUCUGGAGGAAUACCGGUGGCGAAGGCGGCCCCCUGGACAAAGACUGACGCUCAGGUGCGAAAGCGUGGGGAGCAAACAGGAUUAGAUACCCGGGUAGUC